ACCACAUCUUCACACAGCAUCACUCUCUCUGACCUGCAAGGUGGUACUCAGUACUCUGUCACUGUCUGCACUGUGCUGGAAAAUGGAAAGCAAAGUCAACUGGUGUCAACAACCCUCACCACAGUAUUUCCUGCUCCAGACCAGCUGACUGUUGACUCAGUGGACACCACAUCAGCUGCUAUUAGUUGGAGCCAGCCACCAGGAUUGGACCAAACCCAACAUCAUUACCAGAUCUCCUACCACUGUCCAGGGACAGAACCACACAUCACUACCACAACUUCACCCAGCAUCACUCUCUCUGACCUGCAAUGUCGUACUCAGUACUCUGUUACUGUCUGCUCUGUGUUGGAAAAUGGAAAGCAAAGUCGACCUGUGUCAACAACCCUCACCACAAUACAUUUUCAGUGGUGGAAGAGACCCUCCAGAGUUGCUGCAGUGUGUGUUCUACUGGCUGUGAUCAUAGGCCUGUGGGAUUCCU